AGACUCAAUUUUGGACUUAUGAUGGAAUUUUGGCACCAAUUGCUCUUACGAAUUAUUAAAAACAAAUUAGAAUAGGAAAUCAAAGGAAAAAAAUAGGAAAUCAAAUACAUAAGAUCUGAUUGGUCAACAUAAAAGCAGCCUAUCAGAUACAAGGGCUCGGAUCAUGCUCUGUUUAACCACAGCCAUUGAUAAAAGUGAAUCUAACGGACCAAAAUGCACUAAGGUAAAAAACACACUUUUUCUUCCAUCUCUUUCUUCCUUUCUCUCCUCUCAACUCUUCGUAUCCUCUAUCUCUCUGUCUUCGUGAAUCUAAACAGUCUUAACAACCAACACCACCACCUCCGACACCAUUAUCUCAAUCUCCACCUCCUCAUUCACCACUUCUCUACCUGAUUACUCUUUUUAUUUAUUUUUCUAUAUUCUCAGUGUUUUUUUCUUUUUCUUUUUUCAGAUGCAGAUCUAAAAAAGAAUCUUGACAGCAGAGGAGGAGGCAGAAGAAUCUUGACAGCAGAGGAGAUAGAAGAAGCUUGAUGGCGGAGGAGGCAUAAGAAGCCUGACGGCGGAGAAGGCGUGGCGAGCAUAUCAGUUCGUCGGUUCAGCCGUAACACCGGUGGCCUACCACCAGCAGACUGAGUCAUCGCUUAACCCAUGGCAUCCAGAGCAGGUGGAGAUGUCGGUGUAAAAGCUGAUGGAGGUGUCGGUGGAGAAGCCGGUGGCGGAGCCGAUGGUGGAGCGGUGGAGGCAUUGAUUCCAUAUAAUAUAUAUAUAUAUAUAUGUAUGUAAUUUUCUGUAAAUAUAUGUAAUUAUGUAUAUUACAUAAUUUGUGUUUUCUGAAUUAAAUUAAUAAAAAUCUAUUUUUAUUUUGUGUUUAUUUUUUUUUAAAUAUUUUUCGUAGAUAGUCACGUUAAGUCACAACAAAAAACGUGACUGAGUAGAUACGAUUGCUUUUAUGACUUAAUGUGACAAUUACAGCCACAAAUGAAACUGUGUCCAAAACGUGACUAAAAUAGUCACGAAUUAUCACGGUCAAUUUUGGUCACGAUCGUAUAGACACAUUUUUUUUCCGUGACUUUUCGUGUCUAUGAUGUCAUAUAGUCACGAAAAAAGAGUCCCUAUCACGAAAAUUACCGUGUCUAUAUCAAAGUUUUCUACUAGUGUUUGUUUAUCAACUAUUUUUCGUGUAUUCCCAUGUUUUCCAUGUUUUUAAUAAAAACUUUGUUUUCCAUGUUUUACUCAGUUUUCCACUAUGUCCAACCGAACGACUAAUGCGUAAAUACCAGGUGUCAGGUGUCUAAGAAUGCAUAUGCACCCAUCUAACUAUAUGGGUGGUCUGAAAUUUAUUUACUUAAAUGGGGAACGUACCUCUUGAACUAUUCCUCGAUGAAGUGCACGUUUUACGUUCAUGAAAACUAGAUCGAGGUCAAUAAUAUCUACAUUCAUCUGCGUAUAAAAAGCAUUAGCAUUAGAGCUAAAUAUAACACGAUUUCUUGUACGUUAAUGUCUUCUUGCCAAUUGAAAUAGCAUAUAUAUAUAUAUAUAUGUGUAAUUCUGCCUACAAAUAAAAUAAACAGCUAGCUGUAUUUUGUCAUAAAGUAUAAAUGCAUAGCCAGUUUGUGUUCUUGUAUGGUUGGGUAAAUGUAAAAAACCACGUCCAUGCAAAGUCAGCUAAACAAAAAGAGUAAUAAAGUUGAAACAGAAAUAAAUCUGAGGGAAAAAAUGUCAAGACGGUGACGAAAUUGUUUGUAAGAAAGUAACUUUAUCAAUAUUUUCCUAAAUAGAUAGAGAAAGUAUUUCAAAGAAAAGAAAUGGCUUUUGGUUUCGAAGAGAAGGAUAUUGAAGCAAACUUGUUACGCUCCAAAUGGUGUAUAAAUAAUACACAUGAUUAUAGCACUACUCCGCUAUGAGUCAGAUAACAAACAAACCUUCCCAUAGAAAAAGAAAACCACAUACAAGAUCAGCCACAACUUUUUCAAUAAUGGCGAACGAAAACUCGAGCUUCCAAGAAUUAGCCAUAGGAACUACGGUUAGCUUCAAAAGGAGGAGUACCGGAGAGCGGUUUCAUGGAUCGGUCUUCUAUUUUAGCCCCCAAUUAAAUGGUUCCCUUUUUGGAAUCCAGAACGUAGGUGUGUGGAGGGUGGAUGGAAGAUAUGAACGUAUCUCAGGGUUUAACCACUUCAAUCUAAACGACAUCACGGAGUUGCAAGUGAAUGUAGUUCCUAGGCAAAACUCCAACACUCAGGAUGCUCAAAACAAUAAUAAUAAUGAUGGAUCUUCAUCCAAGUCAAUUGAGAGCAAAAUGGGAGCUCUCCGCCUUGAUCCACCUUCGAAGUGACUUGUUUACACACAAUUAGAUUUCUUUGAGUUGUAUUCCAUAAACAUACAUAUAUGAACCAUAUCAACCAGAUAAUUAGUCUAAAAACGUCCAUUACUACAAAACAUAGAUAUGUCACUGAGUCUAGUCUAAGACCUUAUUCUCUCCAAUAAAGGUACAAUGAGUGAUAAUCUAGUAAGAUUGUCUGGUUUGAUUUAAAUUAAUAAAUUAAUAAAUGUAUUACUCUUCGGUUAAUGAAGGUAUAUUUCUCUGUUUCUUUUUCCUUUUCCUUUUCUUGGUGAAUGUUUCAUCUAAAAGAACAAACGCGAGCACAUGACAGACUCACAAACAUUUAUAGAACUAGGCAUUCUAACCAAACUGUAAUUAUCAAUGUGAAGGAAAGUUUAGUUCUAAACCGAUGAGUAUUUUGCUAAACCAAGUCGAAUUUAAUCUGACCGGAUUAAUUAACAGAUAACUCAGCAAUCUAAAAUUAAAAAUUCUGAAAAUAAUAACAUAUUAUAUAUGAUUGAAUAAUGAUUUCUCUUCUAUGAAAAUCAAACGAACGAAAAAAAUUGGUUACGAUUCGGUGAAAACAUCAGUUACUAAAUAACCUAAAAACCUAACGUCAUCGAACCAAUCCAAACUGAUUAUGAAGUAUUUCGUCAUCUCAUGCUCUUGAAAGAGAAAUACAGGAGGCUUUUCUUAAUUUGUACAUAAAAACAAAAAUAUAUAAGUAAUAUGGGCCAUGCAUCAAAUGAAGGCCAUAUGAGAUUUCUAAACCAUGAUUCACCUUCCGAAUGACUCUGUUUCAUUGGAUACACAUGAGUUAGAUUAGAGAUAUUGUGUAAUCGUUUAAUUAUGCCAUUAGUUUAUGUUAUAUGGUGGUUAUAUAUAAGUUGUAGUCUCGUAAUCAAUAAUAUAGUACAAUCAUUUAUGUUCAAUAUAGUAUCAAAGCAGGUUAUAUUUCUAAGUUUUGAUCUAACAAAUCAAACUCAUUUUUUCUAAAAACUAUUUUUGGUCUUAAAAACAACAAAAAGACACAAACAUAUAAAAAAAAGGUGAAAAACAUUAAAAUUUAUUUGCUUCAUCUUACUUCAAGAAAUACUCCAGCGUCUAUAUCAGUAGGAUCUCUAUCAACGACGUCCACCACCUCUGUCACCGGAUUACUCUCAUUACCAUCUCUGCUUUGAAUUCUCGCUAUAAUCCGCUACCUCAAUCUCACCACCACCACUAAAAACAUUAUUGUUUUGCUUAUCUUUUACCUUUUGUAGGUUUUAAUUCUUUUUCUGUUCACUUGGUUUAGCUUUUUUUUUUAACACAUACUUUCACUAAAAGGCAAUUGCUAAUGAGCUGCAGAAACAGAGAGUGCCAUACAGAGAGCUGCUUUUGCUAAAGAGUCGGCCUGAGCAUUCAACAUCUGGGAACGAAAUUGGAACAUAAAAAGGAGAACGAAGAAGAUAGCUUUAUCUACAAAAAACAUUUGUUGGUGUCGUUUGGUUAUUGAAUCUUACUUAAUUUACUCCAGUGAUUGGAUGCACUGCUAUGGUGAUUAGCUACUCCAAUGUAAUACUAGGUGAUUUUCCUGUGGUUAUGCACAAGUAUAAAUAUUAUAAAUAAAUACAUUAUAAUAAUUUAAUAAUAAUUUAUUUUAAAUUUUUAAUUAUUUUAUUAUUUAUAUUGUAAUCAAUAUGAAUAGUUUUAAACAAUAUUAUAUUAUUUUAAUUAGAUGUAUAGUUUUGGAUAUAUAAUAUCUCGGCUGUUUGGUUAUUAUUUGGAUAUAUUAGAUAACAUUUACUUUUCCGAUUCAACUAUAAUAUUUAUAAUAUUAUUUGAAAAAUUUAUAUUUAUUUCUAAUAUGUUAAGCCGUUCUAUAAUUUAUAUGUAUAAAAGUAUUACUAUAAAUAAAAAUAUAUUAUUUUUAAUUUAAUGUUUGUCUUUGUAUAAAAAUUUAAAAUUGGUCUAGGUAACAUUUAAAUGAUUGGUUAAUUGUGUAUAUCCAUGCUAUACAUCAUAAUUGUUAUUAUAAACGACUAAACGAUUGGUAACAUUUUGCUAUGCAUUUUUAUUGGUUAUUUAAUAGCAUGUGUGGUUAUUAUUUACAUAUAUUUUUGGGUAGAAUUUUUAAUUGUUAUAGUAAUAAUCUGAACAUCUUAUCUCCUUUCAAUAAUAUUUUGAUCAUAAAUCAUACACAAUAUUUUGUGGAUAUAUUUUGUUACAUAUCUUCCGUCAAAUUAAAGUAUAACUAUUUCUAUUCAUUGUAUUAGUUUGGUUCUUCAUCUUAGAUGUGUAAAUAUAUUUUGAUUUUUUAGUAAUUUAGUAUAUGUUAGUUUGGAGAAACAAAAUUGUAAAAAUAAAGUGAUGAUAAGUACAAAGUUACAUAAAAACAUAACCGAUAAAUUUUAAAAGGAAAGAUUAUUUCUUUACUUUAAUAUCAAGAUUAUUUUUCUAAACUUUUUUUUUAUGAAUAUACAUUAUAUAUAUAAAAAUAUAUUCGUCUUAAAUUUUAUUAAUAUUUUAUUUAUCAUAUAUCUUAUUUGAAAAAUAAAAAAGGGAACCUAAAAAAAGAUUAAAUUAAAAUUUAUUCAUUAAAGAUAUCUUAAUUUAUGUUAUUUAAAUUAUUAUUUUUUAAUAAUUUGAUAAGUAGAUUGAUUUAAAUAAAAUGCUUGAUACUUUUAAAAUAUAUAUUAUGUUGUUUAAGAUUAUCUUUUACAAGGAAGGUUAUUUUUUUACUUUAAAAUCAAGAUAAUUUUGUGAAUUUUCUUUAUUAUGAAUUAUAAUAUAUAUAUAAAAUAUAUUUUCGUUUUUAAAAUUUAUAAAUUUCUUUAUUAUAUUGGUUAUUUGAAAAAAUAAAGAAAAAAGAAACCUAAUUGUCAGUUCAAAAAAAAAAUAACAAAAAAACAGUGCACUACUAGUAAUUACCUCUAAGACUACGUCUACACGGCUAAUGGGUACUCUCCGUGGCUCAGGUCGGCGUACAAAAUCGCUCGCCCAAACCUCCUACCUAUUAUACGACUUGAUACACACGUCAUAGUUGAUGAAGACAGUCCAUAAUCAUCCUAGGUCGAAGUGGACCUCAAAACGGCCGAUAAAGUAUACGAUAUCUAACUGCAUUGUGAGGUUUAGUUUUACGGUUAGGGUUAAGUCGUCACCAGAUCCUCCGCCUUGGCCUCAACCCUAGUAUUACCCGAGCUUACGACCAGUGGCGGAGGGAGAGAGGGUGGAAGGGGGGGGGGAAGCUGCCCCCUAUGAAAUUCUUAUUUUUUUGUAUAUUUUUUUGAUUAUUCAGAAUUUAUAUGGUUAAGUGGGUAAAAUUUCUUCUACUGCCCCCUAUGAAUUGAAGCUCAAAUUUUACUUUGCUCCCUAUGAAACUUUGGUCUGGCUCCACCAGUUACGACAUGGUCUUCUGCCUCAUGGCAGCAAUUUUCCCGUAGAUGUGUGAAUAUAUUUUACCGAUUUAGCUCAUAUAGAACAGCUUCGCAUGUUAAAUAGGUAACAACAUAUAAUAAUUAUUUAAGUCGAGCAUUUUAAGUUAGCCGAAAUCAAAUCAGAAAACAAUAUAAGUGUUUUUCAGAGCGAUCAGUUUUUUUAAUCAUUAACGUUGAGCAUUUAAUUUUAGGUUCCAGGACUCGUUCGUUUGUGAGGACCGAAUGUCAUAAUAACUAAUCACAAUACUAAAAGAGAAUACUCUGAGUGUUUAGGGUGUCCAUGUGUCAAAAUAAAUCAACCUAUCACGAGUUCACACUUCAUCAGAGUCUCCACGUCAGCUAGCUGCCUUCUUUCUUUCUCUCACGCCUCCCCUGACAACCCGAACGUCGCAUAUUACGAAACUUCGGUCUUCUCCACCUUUCACUAUCUCCCUCCUCCAUAACUCCUCAAAUCCUUUUUUUUAAUUCCUCUGUUAUGACUGCAGCACUAUAUAAUCCGAUGUCAACUUCUAGCUACGGCAAAUCUAAAUGUUCCUUCCUCUUUCUGUUAUUAUCCUUCAUCUUCCUUGCUUCAUCGCCUCCUUCUCAUCAAUUUGAGGAUGGAAACUACUCGACUAUGGAAUGAAAAUCUCAGAAACAAGAAGAAAUUUGAGACUCAUGUGAAUUACAACAAAUAUACAAUCUUAGAUCCGAAAGUUUGCAGGUCCUGCCUCAGAAACUUAACAGAUAGAUCUCUUAUUCUGAAGGGAAGCACAAACCAUUCACUGGAUGAAGUUUCACAAUUUGCAGAUCAAGUUUCUCUCUACUCCGAGUGCACCGAACACUGUUAUCAAAUCAAAAUGGAAACGUCGCUGAUAGCAGAAAAACAUGUUCACUGGGAUAAUGUGGUAAUUGAGAUAGAAGAAAAUUUCAUGAGAAUUAGUCACAUGCAGCAGUAGAUCUCUCACUCACCAGGAUUCUGAGCUUAUAAGGAGAAUACAAGUACCUAACUCAAAGAGAACUUUGAGAAAAUGUGGUUGUUGUUCCAUAUGGUGCUUCAAGAAGCCGACAUCGAAUUAGAUUUGAAUUGGCUGCAGCAUCAGGAGCCUUCAUAUAUUAUACUAUGAUGUUAAAUUCAUAUUUUUUACUUUUACGUAACUUUUUGAAGAAGCCUUUAACAUUUGUUUCGAAGCAGGAAUCUUCAAAGAUAACUUUCAAGAGUCAGUUGGAAACACAAGAAAUUGGGACGAGAUAAAGACAUAGACAUGAUGAUGACUGACCUCGUGCAAGGGAGAAGAGCAGGGACAGAGAUGAUAAGAAAACAAAGGGACUUUCAAAUCCAGAAUACAUGAUGAUUGAACUAAAUCUCAGCCUCAAGCUUCAGGGAAGAGAGAGGGGGGAGGGGACAAAAAAAAGCUCUGGUGGGCAAUAAAUGCGUCAAGAAAAUCUUAUGGUUUCUUGGAAGGAUGAUUUUGUUUAUUGGGCAUUUGUAGUAUUCUCAGGCUGAUAGUAGUAGACCUGUGCAAGUCGUGGCUGUUAUUUUAUUUUUGUUUCACAGGCCCAAGCAAACUAUGACAUAUGAGAGGCUUUAAUUCUGGAUCAUUCAGUUGACUUAAAUGUUUCUUCAUUGCAGUUAUGACGCGCUAAACUAACAGUAGGAAUAUUCGUAGCUGCAUUUCUUACGGUGUCAUCAACAAUGGUGGUCUAUUCUAAUUUCACUUUUUUUUUGCUUAUCUUACAUGGUAUAGAAUCUAUGUCUUUGCAUACUGCGUGUAUAAUAUUACGAUAUUCUCCUACACAUUUUGAAUUUAUUCCCUGAGCUCACUUAAACUGUACUUUUAAAAAUCUUUUCUUGAGUUUUCUUUCCCUAAUUUUUUCUUCAUGCAUGAUCCUCAUCUGGUAUCAUUAACUAAAUGUGAUUCUUGAACUAGGUCUUGAAAUUUUAAUGGAAAGAAAUAACAUAAGUUGUCUACAUGGCCAGAUAACGGCUGGAACUCUCCUUUCAGGUCUCUGAUAAGCUGUAAAUACUCAUCAGUUGCUUAUGUGGAAGGAGAGAUGAGAGAAGCAAAGAAUUGAAGAGAAAGAGAGGGUUUGACAGCUAUGGGAAGCAAUGGUAUAAAUAAAGAGAUAAGAGUGAAAGAGAUCUUCAUCGAUCUAUUAUCUCUUAAGUUUUAAUUGAUAAAUCGUAUUCUGAGAAAGUGAGAUGUUGAGGAGAGAGUCACUUGAGAUACAUUGUAUUGUGUGUUAUGGAUCAAUCGAGAGUUGGUUCGUAACAGUCUCUACUUAACAAAAUUUUUUUGUUUGUUUUGGAACUGGUUGUCGGCCAAAUCCGCAUUGUCCAAGGCUCACGAAUGGAAAAACUCUAAACACAAUAAACAAAUGUGCCUCUCCUAA